CUCUACUUUCUCGUCCUCUCCCCUUCUCUUAUCUUCUUCGUCUUCCUCAAAAUCGCCCAUUCACGGCCAUCUCCUUCUCCUAGCCCUAACAGCGCCGGGUUUCUCAACUGUCGAUCGAGUGACAAUCAUGCCUGCCUGCUUGACAAAGCCUUUUCGGUCUACCAAUAAAGGAAAAACGAUUGCUGGUGACACGAAAGCUGUGCUCGACGCUCUUUUUCCUAUUCCACUGCGCGUCGUGGUCUUUCCCUUGCUGGUUGGAUGACUACUAUGGACGAAGAGCACAACUACUUCCAGUCUCUGGUCGAUAAGUACCCAAGGAAGAGUUGCAGUGGGUAAAUCUUAAUGGCUGGCAGAAAAUUGGUUCGGGAUAUAUUACUCUCAAGACAAAGUAUUUUUUAUCAGUUUACUUCCCAUGAGGUAUUUGCUCUUCCUAUGCUUUAUCCUUAUCCCAUCUUUCUCCGCUGUAGUCUUCAUAGGAUGGAUUUCUGUGGUGUAAAUUUAUUCAUCUAGUUUGUUUGAUUUAUGGUUGCAUUUAGGGAGAAGGUAAAUUGCAUAAGCCAAAGUAGUUAUGGAAAACAUCUCCAAUUUACAGCAAGUUAAAGAAAAAAAAGAAGAGAAAAACAGCAGUUAAAAAAACUGGGCAUCUUGCUUCUUUCUUAUUGAAAGUUCUGCCGUUUCUUUCAAGUCAAAUUGACCACAAAAUGCUCAAUUGAGAUUCUUCAAUAGGAAUAUGU